rnacentral:rRNA from 1 species
UACGAAGGGGGCUAGCGUUGCUCGGAAUGACUGGGCGUAAAGGGCGCGUAGGCGGCUCAUACAGUCAGAUGUGAAAUUCCUGGGCUUAACCUGGGGGCUGCAUUUGAUACGUGUGGGCUUGAGUGGGGAAGAGGGUCGUGGAAUUCCCAGUGUAGAGGUGAAAUUCGUAGAUAUCGGGAGGAACACCAGAGGCGAAGGCGGCGACCUGGACAGAUACUGACACUGAGGAGCGAAAGCGUGGGGAGCGAACAGG